rnacentral:lncRNA from 1 species
GUGCUUUACUUCCUGAAUGAAGGCCCUGGAGUGCGGCUUCGGUCCGGCCUCCUGUCAAAAGCCAUGCGUAGAGUUCUAGAGUUGGAGAAGACCUUGGUCGUCACCUCACAUUCCUCCAAGGGGACGUCUGAGUUUCAUUUGGGUGUCGCUGCACCCGAGAAAAAAAGAGGGUGUCUACCUUUUGAGGGUCCAGAAAUGUACGGGUUUUAAGUCGCACACGCUUCCGGUCAGCACCCCAUGGUACUGCACGCUUGUGCUUCCUGCACGGAGGGUUCAGCGGGGCGGCGUGACACUGCCAGGCUCCUCUGCCUCCGAGUCUGAGGUCAGGACACUGUGCCCCAAAUCCUAGUGGACGGUGAAUGGGAUGGGUGCCGUUCUUGGGGACCUUCCCUGAAGACUGCUUCCUGGCUAUGUGGCUUUCCCAUAACUUGGGGUAUUUACGAGAGGAACUGCGAAUUGGAAAGUGUAAGGACAGGGAUGAGCGAUCUGGCUGGAGAGCUGGCUCAGCACCGACUGCUCUUCCAGAGAUCCUGAGUUCAAUUUCCUAGCAACCACAUGGUGGCUCACAACCAUCUGUAAAGGGAUCUGAUGUCCUCUUCUGGUGUGUCUGAAGACAGCUACAGUGCACUCAUACAUAAAAUAAAUAAAUCU